GGGCCUCUAGCUCAACAGCCAGAGCAGACCGCAGAUUACGGUCAGGUGCAGGUAAGAAUCCCGCGGGGCCCACCA
rnacentral:tRNA from 1 species